rnacentral:lncRNA from 1 species
UCUUUGUUUUUUUUUUUUUUNUUUUUUUUUGAGCUUUGGUGGGCUGGGAUUCUUACAGGAUAAGAGAGAAUAGAAGAUGAACUACUUCCACAGCAGUAAGAGACUUGGCAAGGUGUCUUAUGUUCCUACUGUUUAUUGCUUUUCUUAUUUUUUAACAUUAUCCUUCCUACCAAUUCCCACCCAUCGCAGAGAUGACCCGGACGGUUUGAUACUGGUUUGAACC